GUUUCAGGCUCAAGAGGGACAGAUGGUGACAGUUAGAUGGUGUCCUAACUGCAUCACCAGUGGAUGGAAUGUGAAUUAAAGUGGAAAAGCAUAAAUAAAUGAAAGAAGUGCAAUCGCACACGUGCAUAGUGUCAAGGCUAUUAAAGAUGACUCCGGAUUUUUGUUUCAUUAGAAUACGAUCAAAGACAAAAGCUGGACCAGGAUGAUGCCUUACCUGACGGUCCUGGAGGGCCGGGGGGUCCGCUAGGACACAUAAUCUUCCCACAGGCGCUUGGAGAGUUUCUUUUGCGCCUCUCAUGGAAAAUGUUCUUGAUGUCAACAAUUUCAGUCAUCUGUACAAAGUUAAAAAGUUCGAUGUUAUUGAGCCUUUAGCUCGUCAUAAACAUGCUUCAUUAGCCGUAAGUGAUUUAGAAUGACAGGCGGGUGGGCUCCCCCGCGUGCGUGUUUCUCGUAUUCUGGUAGAGCGACACAGGCCAGUGCAGGAUAAGAUCUCGGUAAACAUAUUUGGGUUCCUGAUGUAGCAGCGAUCAAUUUGUGAUUUUACUUUACAAAGUAACUCUAUAAAAUUAUCAGGAAAAGCGAAGUUCUCCUGUUUAUUUAUCUAUCUACUCUCUUGUUUGUCCAGGUGGAAUCACAAACAGCCGGGAGCCCUAAUAAUGAUAAGAAGAUACAUGAGCUACCCGUAGCGUCAAACACAACCAUCUCGUUAAAAUUGUGGUUCAUUAAGAUGUUCUAAAGUGACUAAUUUGACCAAGACUAACCCUGGAAUGUGUGGCAAGCUUUAACGAUUUGCUCUUUGGGUCAAAAAAGAACUGGUUGCUGCGAUAGAAUUGUGAGGAGAAUGCUCUUGACUGCGAAAUUAACGGCCAAAAGAAGGGGAAAAGAAAGAUGACUGAGAAAAACGAGAAAACGGAAAUGGGAAUGAAUGAGUGAGUCGUAUAUGAUGUUUCCAGUUGGAAUGCAGCAGUUUUUUUUUUCACGAUUGAAAACUUCUAUAUGAAAAAUGGACAAAGAACCCGACGCAGGAAGAUAAAAUUGGCUCAACAUCGUUGAACUUGCUGAAGACCGGGGUCAUUAACAGCGAUUAAAUAUCAACUUUACGGUGUUCGUACACAAUGCCAGCCACGGGAGGCUAAUUAAUGAUGUCGGUGUUGGUAUGCAUUUGCAUUUAAAGAUGAAUUAGCGGUGAAAGUCUCUUCCUUUCCGAGAAUUUUAGUUUCAUGCUGUCUGGUAUGAAAAUCCGGAAGGAAAGUAAAGCUCCGUAUUAUACAACAAUGAGCAACAUGAUAUCCGUUUUUCCUUCGCGUGGAGAUAGUUGAUGACCCCGUUUUAACUGAUAAUUGUGGAGAAUUCGAAUGAUCAUUUCUAUCAGGCGACAGAAAAUGACAUCUUAUUCAAGAGGGAGGUUUAUUUUGGUAACGUGACAGAUAACGAUCAGGAGUAAUGGAUGUAUGCAGAUUUAUCUUCAACACGCAAUCAAGGAUGACCUUUUGUUCCAAAUUUGCAUCAGUUGUCAACAAGGCUGGUUUUGUGGAAAGAGACAUCUCGUCGCGCACUAAGUAUUAUCGAUGACAUGAAUUAAAAUAUCUGAUUGCGUAGGACGUAAUCGUCGAUUAUUUUGGACUUGUUAUACUACCUGAGGUCUUUUGUCCUUGUUUUCACGCUGGUCUUGGGUGCUUGAGGGCGACACAGUCGUCUUAGAAGCGUUAACUGUUCCCUUCUCCAAUAAAACAACUCUACCCCGCAAAUCUUGGACGUAAUGUCUCAACUCGUUGUAAUCUCGCAUCAAAUAAACGACGAAGGCACUCAGUGACACGCAAUACACGAGUAACAACACCAGAGCUAGCGCUACAAGAAGCCGAAGCGAACUUGUUUUCGCUUUUUCCGCCAUUGCUGAUGAGUUCUACGCUGACUCAAUGCGGCUGAGUUGAAAUCGACAUGGCUCACGGCGUCAGGGCUGACUGGAGCUGUAGCGGGGUGGUCAGACAACUUCCUGUCAGCGAGGUCAUUAGUUGAGUUCUUAGAAUUUACGCACCAGGAGUAAAAUUGGAUCACGUGACCUUCUUGUCUGUUUCAGUUUGUCUGCAUUGUGCUCCUUGCGUAGGUUUUGCUGCCUAAAAGGUUGGGAAGAAAUCUGAAAAAAUACCACGCAGAGGUUGGAAAAUUUCCUUAGCCGGAUGGAAAGUAAUGUUGAGGGAAGCUCAGAUAUACAAAUCGAUUGUAAAUGUUCGAAGUAUUAUGAAUACUUUUUUCUAACCCGUCAAACCAAGUUGCUUAAAGGUGAUGUAUAGAGGAAUUCUUGGUUAGAUAACAGGGCUGGUCAGUAGAGCACGAGCGCUACUUUGAAAGUGAUGGGGGGGGGGGGUGGGGAGCGAGUGUGAAAUAAUGCUUGUUUCUCCUCUGUGCCAAAAUAAAGUGACGGUUUUUAAUGACAGUAAUAAUCAUUUAUAAAACAACCUGACAUGCUUCGAAAUGCCACAAGACGCUAGUAUGGGAUCUCUCCUCUUUUCUGGGAAAUCAGGCUCACACCUUGAUGCAGAAGUAUACUUUAUCUUUAAAACAUAGAAGGCUAUGAAGUCUCGCAGCCGCAAUGAUUCUCAAUGGAAGGGAAUAUCCGAGAGCGUAGAGGACUUGGGAAGAUUCCUUUGCUUCUGAUGUAAUGACACCUUACGGCCUGCUUCAUUAGGGAAUGUCGGAGAAGGGGAGGGGGGGGGGGAAUGCUCCGCUCACAAGUCACGAAAACCAAAAAUCAUGAAGCACCACCAUAAACGGAGUACCAAGAAAUUUGAAGAGGGAACACACCAAAGCAGCAAAAACAGAAGCCGAUAAAAGUAAUUAACCUCAUAAACUUUAUUUCAAUUUCAAAUUAAACGUAUCCAAAUAAA